GGUGCCGGAAGUGGUGGCGGUGGUGGAGCCGCCGGAACCGGUUGCCCUACUGAUGGUGCUGUGUGGUGGAUGAACAGAGAUUUGGAGGAGAAGAAGAAGAGGUACGGACCCAAAUCCCGUUAAGAAC
rnacentral:ribozyme from 1 species